CAGAGCUAUUUCUCUUUAUAGACCUCUACCAACGCACUGCAACAAGAAAGUUAGACGCAUAAUGAAAAUGCCUUUUCUACUAAAAGCAUCUAUUAAAAAGGAGGAAGAUGAAACAUGAUAUCUAAUUAAUUAUUUUGUCUUAAUAACCUUUGAUUCCGUUUUUUAAAGUUGGAAAAUGCAAGGCUUAGAAAACUACUGUUUUCUGGAUCCAUGAACUGAAUUGCAUGCUUGGAAAGCAAGUGCAUUAUGACUCCCUUUCAUCUGUAUCUGGGUUGCUCAAGGGCCAGAGGUGGCCAACAGAAGGACAAGUUAACAUUACUCUGUGAGACUUUUUCAGCCCCAUUGAACAAGUAAAUAGGGGAAGUUUUUGAUGAAGAUUUGGCCCUGGCAUGAAGGACAAGGGUCCCACGGAUCUUGGAAACCCUAAUGGACUGGACUGAAGACCUCUUUUUGAGCAGCUCAAGAUCACCUAGAAGACUUGUUCAUUCCUUCAACCAAGUGUUUGCUGAGAGCCAACAGUGUGCUUUUACACAAAGCCUGACCAGCAAAAUGGCAUAGUUAUUCCAGGCGGGGGAAGAGUGGAAAGAGGUCACAAAAUGUCCAGAGCUGGAUGCCUCAUCAGAGAGGAUAUUAUGUGAGUACCUUGUUGGCCUAAUUAGGGGCGGGAGGGAGAAAGCAGUGAGGCUGGGGAAGAGAUGAGUCAUGUGAGCUCACUUUAGUUUGGCAAAGAAAUAUGUCUAAUGGUCCUACAUAAAUCACAAUUCUCACAAUUAUGUGAGAACUUGUGUCCCAACAGAGUGUUGAUAAAUUCAAGAUUCC
ensembl:lncRNA